ACCAGAUGCCAUCCUCAUCCAUAUUCUCUCCUUAUUGCCAACAAUCGAUUCUCUGAACACAAUCUUGAUUCGACGAUUUAAUCACCUCUGGCCAUUCAUCCACACACUCACUUUUGAUCAAUGCAUGUUUCCGGGGCAUAACUAUGUCUAUUAUAGUCAAGCUAAUCGUCCUGACUAUGACGAAAGGUUCUUGAACUUUAUUCGUCAUGUGAUUCUUCUUAAUAAGAGCCCAACUCUUUAUAAGUUCUGCCUUGAUUUUCAUUUUAGUAUAUCUCAUUCAAUUCGACAGAGAGUAUCCAACAGAUGGCAGUAUGACUGUUUGAGGAGUGAGAAAAGAAUGGCUAAUGAAAUUGGUACUUGGAUCCAGUUCGCAUUAAAUAAGAAUUUGAAGGUCCUUGACUUGUCCAUCUCUGCACAUGGUACAUUUGAGCCCUGGGCUUAUUAUGAUCUGCCUAAUUUUAUUCUAAGCAGUCCUCAUUUGGUUGAACUCCGAUUGGCAUACUGUAAGAUCAAUGCAAAAAAGAAGAGCGAGUUGAAGGCUCUAACAACAUUUUCUCUUGAUAAUGUUAUGCUAAUGGAUCAAUCGAUGGAUUAUAUUCUAUCUGGUUGCCCGGUGCUUGAGGAAUUGACUCUGUGGUUUUGCUACGGCCAUAGAAGACUGGUUCUGCUCAAUUCGAAUUUAAAGACAUUGGUACUUGGCAUUAGAUGGUUUGGAACAAGGAUACACGUCUCAUGUCCAACUCUCCUAUCAUUAGACAUGUCUGAAACUGUGGAGGUACUGGAUAUUAUCAAUGUAGCAUCUAUUGUUGAAGUGUCUGUCAAUCGUAUGGAGAAGUUUGAUUUCAAAGAGUACAAGGAUUAUCAAGAAAUGAGAAUACUCCUCCAAAUAAUUACUGGGGCCAAAACUCUCAAGCUAUGUUCCUGGUUUGCUCUGGUAUGUGGCUUUUUCUCUUUCUCCACAACUUCUCCAGGUAUAUUUGAGAUUUCUGACUCUAUGGAGAAAUAGCCUUUUAGGUGGACAUACUAACUAUAAACUCUUCUAUUCAAGAUAUGGAAUAUCAAUAAAUUUAUGGACCGGAGGGGUUAUGGUUUUGGACUUUGAGCCCGUUUGGAUGGGCUUUUUUUAAGUGACUUGUAAGGAUAAACCAAUAAGUUAGUAAUUCUAGCUUUUGACUUUUGGCUUGUUUUUAUCAUUUUAACUUAAAAACAAGUGCUUAAAAGCACUUUUUUUACUUUAUCCAAACAUUACAAAAUGACUUUAAAGUUAUUCUGCCUUAAAAGCACUUGAAAUAAGCCAAUCCAAACGGGCUCUUUGUCUUUAACGUCUUAGGUUUAGGCAUCCAUCAACAUUUCAUUUACAUUGUGCAAUCAGUUUUUUAAUGCUUUUGUCACUUACCUUGUGGCUGUCAGCACAAGUCCUUGUUGAUUAAAUCGUCAUCUUUAGUUUGUGCUUCUCUGUUUUUCUUAAGAAAUUUCAUUUUAAUUUAUCGAAAAAGAAAGAAAGUUUUAUUUCAAUAUCAUCAGAUUACAAAUACACCCUUCUCAUGUUGUUUUCCAUAAACUCAGAAAUGGUAGAUAAGUCAAUAUCCUAAGUCCUACAGCAAAAGGCAUAUUCUUUCAUGUAGGGUCUUAUGGAGGCUAGACAAUAAAAACUAAAGUAUAUUGAAGCUGUCAUAUGACUGUAGGCUACUUCCUCUAAGCAAUUUAGAUGUCUGCAUUUUCAUGGUUCAGUUUAGCAAGCAUUUAUAUCAAAUUUGGUGGAUGCAGCAUUCUUUGCUACUGUAAGCAUCCGUUUGAUUGCAUUCUUUAUCAUGUCAAUACAUAAGGAAGAAACCUCCUUGUUUUCUUGAUCACUUAGAAGCAUUGUUCAUAGUGCAUAGGACCAUUUCCUUUUAAACAUAGUCUUUUUCGCCAACACAAGAAUUUACUUAUGUGCUGAAGCACACACCAAAUUUGUGCAUCGCAUUGAAUGUGUUUAAGCGUCAAAUGUGUUUAAUCUUAAUUUGAACUUACAGAAAAUAUAUUUUUCAUGGUGUAGAGAUGCAUUGUUCAAAUAAAUAGAUGGAGAAUACUCAUGUUUCACAUAGAAACAAAGAAUGUUGACCAAGGGCUUGAAUAUUCUUAUGCAAAAAUCUAUUUAUUUAGUUUCUUUAACUUUUGUGUUUUAUUUUUUGUCUGCCUAGGUAUUUUCUUCAUGGUAGUUGACAAAUCUACCAGCUCCGACCUUCAGUUGCAAGACGCUUCACCUUCAAUUGGAUUUUGUGAAAUGGCACUUACCAGGAAUACUGAACUUGCUGAAGCACUGUCCUUGCUUGGAAAAUCUUAUCAUCGAAAUAACUACUUACUAUGAUUAUCCAUCCCGAGUAAGACAAAAUUUAUUUGUUUUAUUGCUCUUGCUGUUAACUGUGUUCUUUGCAAUGGUAAUACAUGUUGGUGUUAGACACUGGUAGGACACUAACCCGAGUUGGCAUGAUUGGGAUACUAACUUUGGCAGUUUCCUUUUUUUUUUUAUAUAAAAGAAUAUCAUUUUCAUAUUUCAUAUAAAUGACCCUACUGUGAAAUGUGAGUGUCUCUGUACUAUAUGCAAAUAGGACUUUUUUCCCUAAUCUCCUUUUUACUCGUUAUUUGGGGAGUCAUGAGAAACCAUCAAGUAGAAAACAUAAGACAUCAUGUUUCUUCAGGGUGGAAACUUAAAUUUUUAAACAUGUAUGAUUUUCGAUGUUUGUUUCACAGUAACUGUAGAUGUAUUUUCAUAAUGUGUUACCCUAAGAUUUUGCAGUUCCGAGUCCUUGUUAGUAUCCAUUAUACAUAGUUCGGGACAAUUCUUAACUGGAUAUUUCCUCUUGUGCUUAUUUUAGAACGCAACUUCGUGGAUUCACUCAUAUGACUUUGAUGGAGAUGAAUUUUGGAAUAUAGUAGUUACUCCUGUCCAGUGCUUGACUCAUCACCUCAAGACGGUGGAGGUAGCUGGUUUCGUAAUGGAGAAGCAUGUGAUUCAUUUUGUGGAAUAUUUGCUCAGGAGUUCCAUGGUGUUAGAGGAAAUGGUGAUAUUCGCGGAGAAGCAGACGUGGAUCUAUGGCCCAAUUACUCUUAUGUCUUAUAAGGUUCAGGAACUCGAGGAGAGGCUAAUGAAUGCACCAAAAGCCUCUGCUGCAGUGGUUUUCUAUUGAUGGUGAACCCUUCAGAAUGAUUUGCCUAGAUAGUGUAAAAAUUAUUACACUAUCGGUGUAUUUAAGUUAAAACUCUAUGAUAAUAAUGUGCAUAAUGAAUUGUGCCGGGGACUGUUUCCUGCAUUUUCUGUAAUAAACUGUUGAAGGGCUUUCCUAUUGGAGAUGGGUAUCCAAGUUCGUGGCCGAAGAUUGGUUACUAAGGAUUAGUCAGAAAAACAAGAGCAGAUAAUAAUUGCUUUGAAGACUUGCAACGCACGCUGAUGCUGCCUUCGAAAUCUGGAGUUUUUUUCCCUCUCUACUACAUCGUUCUUCUGUUCCGAGGAAGCUGAAGUAUUUGCUUCAGGAAAGUUGAUCUGGGGCUUUUUUCUCUCCAGGGUUGAAGUGCUUCAUUAUGAAAGCACUUGCAGGUUCAUUCUCUCUUGUCAUUGUUGUUGCACAUAAUGGUCUUCAAAUGUCGUAUAGUGUAUCCUCAUCGGUAUAUGUUCCCUCAUUGUAUCGGGAUCAAUUUGCCUCGUAUAGAAGGUUAUGCAUUCAGUUUUGGAUCUUCGGCAGAUGUAUGUCCUUAAUGAAAUUACUUAGAAACUUUUUGAUCCAAACUAUGAAUGGUAAUUACUUAAAAAGUUUCCCAAUCUCUUUGAUCCCAUGUUUUAUCAUCAUGAAUUGUUAUCUCUAAAUGGAAAUUUAAUAUGCUGAGAUUAUCGCUCGAGGAUUUCUCAGCCUGAUUAACUAGAGGGAGGAAAGUUCUUGUUCUGUGCCUCUUGGUUUCUAGGAAUAACAUAUGCUCAGUCAUUUCAUAGCUUGCAAUUUAUCGCACCUAAAAAUGUGCUAUGUUGUUUUACAGAAGGAAUAUGUCUGCAAGGCAAAGAAGCUGUAACUUUAACGAAGACCGUAUAAGUGGACUGCCAGAUGCCAUCCUCAUCCAUAUUCUCUCCUUAUUGCCAACAAUCGAUUCUCUGAACACAAUCUUGAUUCGAUGAUUUAAUCACCUCUGGCCAUUCAUCCACACACUCACUUUUGAUCAAUGCAUGUUUCCGGGGCACAACUGCGUCUAUUAUAGUCAAGCUAAUCGUCCUGACUAUGACGAAAGGUUCUUGAACUUUGUUCGUCAUGUGCUUCUUCUUAAUAAGAGCCCAACUCUUUAUAAGUUAUGCCUUGAUUUUUAUUUUAGCUUAUCUCAUUCAGUUCGACAGAGAGUAUCCAGUAGAACAGACAGAUGGCAGUAUGACUGUUUGAGGAGUGAGAAAAGAAUGGCUAAUGAAAUUGGUACCUGGAUCCAGUUCGCAUUAAAUAAGAAUUUGAAGGUCCUUGACUUGUCUUUCUCUGCACAUGGUACAUUUGAGCCCCAGGCUUAUUAUGAUCUGCCUAAUUUUGUUCUAAGCAGUCCUCAUUUGGUUGAACUCCGAUUGGCAUACUGUAAGAUAAAUGCGAAAAAGAAG
rnacentral:lncRNA from 1 species